UCUCUUAGCUAAUAUGUCAUGUAGGACUCUGUGCAAUCUUUCUUGUUUAGCAUUGCUUUCAGGAUGAUAUGCAGUACAAGAUACAUUGUCUAUAUUUAAUUCUUUCAGGGUUUCUGUAAAGGCUGAGCUUGUAAACUCCGACCCUCGGUCAUGGAUAAUCUGAAGAGGACACCCAUACCUAGGAUAAAUUUCAUUCAAAAAUUCUGGCGGUCUAGAGAAGAAAUCAGCGAUGAUGUUGUCUUUGCCUGGAAGAUAUUUGAUUUUACAGUUGUAACCGCUUAUAGACAAUGCCCAUAAUUGAAUUUUCUUGUUAUUCAUUUGUGAAUGUAAUAAAGUGACCAGUGGGCGGUGA